CUCAUAAAAAAAUCUCGCCCAUUGUACAGUAUAAACACCUAAUAAUUUUUAUUUUAAAUUUUGAUUUUAAUUCUUGUUUUUAAAAUUUUGAUUUUUGUAGGGGAUUAUUGAUGAAAAACUCAAAAUUUUGAGUUUUGAAUUUAUUUUAAUUUUAAAUUUAUUUUAUUUAAUAUUUAAUAUUAUUUAUUAAUUAUUAUUUUUACUAUUUAUUUAUUUAUUUAAUUUUCUUGGUGAAAGCCUAACAAGAUUCUCUCCUGUUCCAUUUCCUACGCCAAAAGGGAGGGAACAUGGUUUUCGUUUUGUUUGUGUUGAUUGCCGAAUUUCCUGAUGCCUUGACCCUCCUCGGGAAGUGUGUCGGGGUGGAAAUCGGCUGCUGAUAGUGACCCUCGAAGUUUGCACCCACGACGGGUCAAGCGAUUCGACCGAUGAGGGAUCAAAUCGGUCGGGUCCGAAAACCUCCUUAGUAAAUUCUCUUCGGCAAGAUGAGCCGAAUGAACAGGUGGGGUCUAUAUUUCGGCUGAGAGAUGAGCCGAAUGGCUAGGACAAAAACGAGAUCUGGUCGGCCUGAGGAGCCGAAAACGACUUUCUAUUAAUAAGAAGGGAGUGAUGCCCGGAGGGCAGACAGACUCCGAGGUGUACAAGGGAGUGAUGCCCCGAGGGCAGACAGACUCCAAGGCGUUUACAAUGAAGUGAUGCCCAGAGGGCAGACAGACUCCAAGAAGGCUAAGUUACAAGAACUACUCCUAGGCAAAAGCGAGAAAAUAUAGGGAAAAAUAAAGGUGGUCUUUUGUGCGCAGGGGCGAAGACCUGUUUUCAGGGUACUACAGACCUAUUUAUAUAUUUUCCCCUUGUGUUUAGUUAUUGCACGAUCGGCCAUCUUCUCCGGAUUUGGAGGACCACGUUCGGCCGAUUGGAACUGCCGUUGGGAACCGCCCAUAACCGCUUGCGGUUGUCACAUUUUUCGAACAAACGCGGCUCAUAUCUCCUGGCGCAUUUUUCCGUGCUCCCGAUCCAGC
rnacentral:lncRNA from 1 species